AUUGAACGCUGGCGGCAGGCCUAACACAUGCAAGUCGAACGAGUGGCGGACGGGUGAGUAAUGUCUGGGAAACUGCCUGAUGGAGGGGGAUAACUACUGGAAAAGGUAGCUAAUACCGCAUACCAUCAGAUGUGCCCAGAUGGGAUUAGCUAGUUGGUGGGGUAACGGCUCACCAAGGCGACGAUCGCUGACUGGUCUGAGAGGAUGACCGGCCACACUGGAAGUAGGACACGGUCCAGACGCCUACGGGAGGCGGCAGUGGGGAAUAUUGCACAAUGGGGACAAGCCGGAUGCAGCAAUGCCGCGUGUAUGAGGAGGGCCUUCGGGUUGUAAAGUACUUUCAGCGGGUAGGCGUUACCCGCAGAAGAAGCACCGGCUAACUCCGUGCCAGCAGCCGCGGUAAUAC
rnacentral:rRNA from 1 species